AUGGGUGUUCAGGAUCCCCCAAGGGUUGCUGGUUUUGGUGCUGCUGGGGCUCAGGGUUUACCUGCAUGCCCAUGGCAGAGCUCCAUGGGGCUGGGUGAGACAGCAGCAGGAAGCUGGGGUGUGGCGGGUGCCACCCACUGCUCCUGGCCAAAGUUGAGCAGAGCAGCAGCCGGCAGCACCCAGGGGUCGGGCAGCACCUGGCUUCCACCGAUGGCCCCGGUGCUGCCGUGGGGUUUGGCUGCUGCUGCACCCAUUGGGUUCCUGCUAUUGCUGUUCCUCUGCGCCCUCUGCCCCAGGACGAGCGGCCGCUUCUCCACCCAGAGCACCGGGAACGCCGCAGGGAACUCCGGGCUGGUGACGCUGUCGGGACCGGACUGCAGCGAUGGGGGAGCAGCGCUGCUGGGAGGUUCAUCGCCUUGCAGCAGGACAGAUGUCACCAAUGAGGGGAACACGGGCAUCUCCGGGUCACCACAACCCAACACAUCCCCUACAUCCUCCCAGAGGACCCCAGACUUCCUUCGGCACCGGCAGCUCCCGCUGCUGCCCAGUGACACCACAGAGCCCACAGUGCAGGAUGCUCAGGGGCCCAUCUACGAAAGCAUCCGCUACAAAUCCCAGCAGCUCAGUGCUGGGCUGGAGAAGCCCUACAGGGACAGUGGGGACAGUGGGGACUCCAUGCAGGGCGUUGUUGUGCAAGAGGAGCCGUGCAGCACAGGCAGCCCCAUACCUGUGUAUGCUCGCAUCUGCAAAGUGCCCCGGGCACAGCAGCACACGGUGCCCAACAGCACUGAGUCUGAGGAAGAGGCAGCUCCAGCACUGCCAGAGAAACGCUUUGACAUCCUUUAG
rnacentral:lncRNA from 1 species